rnacentral:rRNA from 1 species
GCUUACGGCCAUACCACCCUGAGAACGCCCUAUCUCGUCUGAUUUCGGAAGCUAAGCAGGGUCGGGCUGGAUU